UUGAACGCUGGCGGCAGGCCUAACACAUGCAAGUCGAACGGUAACAGGAAGCAGCUUGCUGCUUCGCUGACGAGUGGCGGACGGGUGAGUAAUGUCUGGGAAACUGCCUGAUGGAGGGGGAUAACUACUGGAAACGGUAGCUAAUACCGCAUAACGUCGCAAGACCAAAGAGGGGGAUCUUAGGGCCUCUUGCCAUCGGAUGUGCCCAGAUGGGAUUAGCUAGUAGGUGGGGUAACGGCUCACCUAGGCGACGAUCCCUAGCUGGUCUGAGAGGAUGACCAGCCACACUGGAACUGAGACACGGUCCAGACUCCUACGGGAGGCAGCAGUGGGGAAUAUUGCACAAUGGGCGCAAGCCUGAUGCAGCCAUGCCGCGUGUAUGAAGAAGGCCUUCGGGUUGUAAAGUACUUUCAGCGGGGAGGAAGGGAGUAAAGUUAAUACCUUUGCUCAUUGACGUUACCCGCAGAAGAAGCACCGGCUAACUCCGUG
rnacentral:rRNA from 1 species